GAUGAAGAACGUAGCGAAAUGCGAUAAGUAAUGUGAAUUGCAGAAUUCAGUGAAUCAUCGAAUCUUUGAACGCACCUUGCGCCCUUUGGACAUUCCGAAGGGCAUGCCUGUUUGAGUAUCAUGAACACCUCAACUCUCACGGCUUGUCCGUGAUGAGCUUGGACUUUGGGGGUCUUGCCGGCCUGUGGUCGGCUCCUCUCAAAUGGAUCAGCUUGCCAGUGUUUGGUGGCAUCACAGGUGUGAUAACUAUCUGCGCUUGUGGUUUUCCAUCAGAUAACCUUCAGUGAUAUGGAGGUUCGCUGGAGCUCACAAAUGUCUCUCCUUAGUGAGGACGGCUCUUUGAACGUUUGAUCUCAAAUCAGGUAGGACUACCCGCUGAACUUAAGCAUAUCAAUAAGCGGAGA
rnacentral:misc_RNA from 1 species